AGCUCUUCUAGCAUAUAUUAAAGUUGCUGCAGUUAAAACGCUCGUAGUUUGAAUUAUUUCGGUUGCCGGCGGCUGGAAAAUUUAAUUUUUCAAGUCGUCGGCGGCUGAAUUAAAGUUGGGGUGGAGCUGAUUAAUUUCUCUUCAUCCAGAUAACCUUGAAAAAAUAUUGUCGCUCAAAAAAGGACGGAAUGUCUAUUGAGAUUUCAGCAUGGGAUUAUGGAAAAAGGGGAGUUGGUUCAAGAGGGGGUAAAAGCCUGAUUGGCCUUCUUCCAAUGGUUAAUGAGGACGAUGCGUGGGAGUUCAUAUUAAAUUGUCAGAGGUGAAAUUCUUGGAUUAAUUUAAGAUGAACAUCAGCGAAGGCGUUCUUCAAGUGCGUGCCUG
rnacentral:rRNA from 1 species